AGCGAACGCUGGCGGCAGGCCUAACGCAUGCAAGUCGAGCGCCGUAGCAAUACGGAGCGGCAGACGGGAGAGUAACACGUGGGAACGUACCCUUUGGUUCGGAACAACCCAGGGAAACUUGGGCUAAUACCGGAUAAGCCCUUACGGGGAAAGAUUCAUCGCCGAAGGAUCGGCCCGCGUCUGAUUAGCUAGUUGGUGGGGUAAUGGCCCACCAAGGCGACGAUCAGUAGCUGGUCUGAGAGGAUGAUCAGCCUCACUGGGACUGAGACACGGCCCAGACUCCUACGGGAGGCAGCAGUGGGGAAUAUUGGACAAUGGGCGCAAGCCUGAUCCAGCCAUGCCGCGUGGGUGAUGAAGGCCCUAGGGUUGUAAAGCCCUUUCGGCGGGGAAGAUAAUGACGGUACCCGCAGAAGAAGCCCCGGCUAACUUCGUGCCAGCCGCCGCCGUAACAC
rnacentral:rRNA from 1 species